AAAUGGUUUUCUUUAAUUUCCCUUAAAAUUAAAGGGGCGACUCCUCACUUUCCCGCUUAGGUGAGAGUCGUCUGGUGACUGCAAAACCUUUGUGACAGCUUGGCGACUUUACUGGGAAGGCAAUCUAAUAUCCAGGUUGGAGAUCCAAAAGUUGAUUUAACUAUAUGCUCUUAUAAAUUAAUAUCGAUAACGUUGGGAUUUAACUUGUAAAAUUUCAAAGUGUCAUUCUAGGAAAUCUAACUUGGUUGUUUUUCUUUGCGCAUUUCCUUAUUUGUUGAUUUGUCUACAUGUUUUUCUUUUGUUACAGUAGCACUAUUUUUUAUUCCUUGAAUAAGGAAGAGGUGAGUAUGUCCCUUCACACACUUAACACUUACACAAUGCCCUCACACACUUUAGCCCUAUACUCGGGCAUUCUUACCUUUAGGAAAUAGGAGAAAGUCGUGCAACGAUACCCAUGGAUUUUCCCGUUAGUAUCCGUGAAGACUUUCGCUCAGAUUGAAACUUGUUUCAUCUAUUGUGAUACCAUGAAUUCUCCCGUUAGUAUCAUGAUAAUUAAAUCCUUGCCCUUAAUUUUUUAUCUCUUUAAUUCUUAACCCUCAUAUUUUGUCCUUUUAAAUCCAUACCAUUUAUCUUCUCCAUCUAGAAUCCUGACCUUCCAUCUUAGGACUCUCAUUCCAUAUAAAUACUCAAAGUCUCCACUGUAGAAGGGGUCUCUUUUCCAAAAGUAGAGCUAAGAAUUUAAGAAAGAGGCUCACUCCCCUUAACCUGUCACUUCAAAAGUGCAUCGGUUCCACCUCCAAUCUUCACUAGUCAGAGUAUACUUACCCCAUCAUUGCUUAAAGCCCCUUUGCAGGUAAAAUUCUGAUCCUUUCUCUUUUAAAAUGGGUAGUUAAGUUGCAUCUCACAUAAGCUAGAAUUCAAGUUCUUUAAUUAUUGAAGUCAUGCCGAACUUCUAAGCGAAUAGAGUUAUGAUCAUAUUUUCCCUUUUUGUAAAUAUUACUCAUGUCACUUUGUUGCAGUGCUACAUAAAUAUUAUUUUUGAAGAUCGACCAAUCCUUUUUUUUAUUUUAUUUAUU
rnacentral:misc_RNA from 1 species